rnacentral:rRNA from 1 species
UAAAGGGUGCGUAGGCGGCCUGUUAAGUCAGGGGUGAAAGACGGUAGCUCAACUAUCGCAGUGCCCUUGAUACUGAUGGGCUUGAAUGGACUAGAGGUAGGCGGAAUGAGACAAGUAGCGGUGAAAUGCAUAGAUAUGUCUCAGAACACCGAUUGCGAAGGCAGCUUACUAUGGUCUUAUUGACGCUGAGGCACGAAAGCGUGGGGAUCAAACAGGAUUAGAUACCUUGU